ensembl:lncRNA
CCCGAGAUGGCCCACGCUCUGACUGUGGAGUGUGUUUCUCUCUAAAUAAAUCCACUUCUUACCUGUCACUUUGUGACUCACUGAAUUCUUUCCGUGAUGAGACAUCAAGGACCUGAGCUUCAUUAAGUCCUGAAACAGGUGGUGAUCUCAGUUGGAAGACCGUGGGUUUUGGCCGGGUUCGAGUUCCAGCACAUGGGUUCAAGUCCCAGUCUGAAGUGAACGUUUCAUCCUGAUCUUCUUCACAUAGUCCCCCAUUAACAAGUUCAGCAUAUGUACAAUCCAGCUCAGCUCCAAGAUCACCUGGGGACUCUGUGCUGGCCCCUAGCCCAAAAUGAGACACUGAAGAGCUUCCUUGAACAAUUAUUAUCAUUAUUUUUUAAGAGACAGAAGGAGGUGCCUCCCUCCCACAGGGAGCCCACCUGUGUGCACAGCGCCUGCGCAGAGGACUCAGAAGUGGCUGGAAGCUCCCCACGGCCCAUCGCCAGCUUCCUAGGAGAGCCCGUGAACAACCCUGAGCCUCUGCUGGUUGCUCUCAUUCUUUCCAUGAUUUGGGAGAGGCUGGACAUUGGCAGGGAGGUGCUUCCCGCAGAGACUCCAAGGGCCUGGGAUGGGGUCAGACGGAGUCACAGGCUGGCCCCCAGCAGCUCCUGCUGCCUGCUUACCUUGCAGGAGUCUGUGAAAGCAGGAACCCCGGGUCUGGGUUUAUUUUCACCAUGCUUGAAAAACAAUGAAUGAUGAAGUAUCUAUCCUCCUUGGGAGCAGGAGAUGCGAGGGGAGCACUGAAGGGGCAGCGAGCUGGG